CGAUCGGGAGUAGAGACUCGGCACAGACUCACUCGAUACUAUAAAAGAGACCGACGCUGGUCCCGUCACGUCAUUUAUUCCUUCGUAUUUCGACGCGUCUACCUGCACAAACGUUCUGGUUUCUUCCAGCAGACUCAAUUAAUCGCUACAGUUUCUCCUAUUCUUCUCGAAUUUUCAAGUAGAAACAUUGAUUGACUGUUCCGAGAGACGCAAGAAACAAAAAGAAAACAAUUCAAAAGUCACCUGGCACUUCUCACAAUCUACAGAAUGUUCGUCGUAACGAUGUCAACCAGAACGGCAGCGGCCGCCUAUCUUUUCUUCCUACUCGUCUCAUUGGCCAACACCGCCGUUCUCAACAGGUCAUACGUGGAACGAAGCGCUGAGGACAUGAAUGACAACAUGUACGCAGACAUUGAACUGAUUGAAGAUUACCCAAUGAAACCCGUAACAAUGUUUGACAUUUUAAAGCGCGUUCUGGCCCAAAAACCUGCGCCACCUGAACCGACUGAGCUAAUAAAGACUCCAUUCAGGAAGAGGACGUGCUACUUCAACGGGGGAAUGUCUCACAGUUGCGACUACAAGGAGUUGCUCCAGUCAGCUGACGACGCCAACCAUUGGAGCAGCGAACACACUCCGGGCAAGCGCCGGAAGCGUUCUUCCCGCCGCGGACGAGCGCCGGCAGCGCGUUCCGCCGAUGAGCAACAACGUCCGGCAACAACACUCUGAAAGGAGAGAGAAAGCGAGAGAGAUAAUAAUCCAACCACCUUUCACCUUUACAUAACCAGCCAACAAAUACACCGAAAAGACGAUUCAUUUAACCCCACCCUGGCCACUUAAUAUACACACGGACAACACAUUUAACUUCAAGAAUUCUUUAUUUUUCGUUUCUUUUGUUUUUGAUUCCAUCUCUCCACGGAAUCAUCAUAUCCAUCAGGUUUCUACCUCGAGCCCAACCCUCCCCUCCGACGGUCGCCAUUAAAAUGGCCGGAGAAAUUCCUCAAGUCUCGACUCCACACGGCCAGUCGAUUUUGAUGUUGUGCAACACAUUGGCACCGUUCGACGUGAUUUAUUUGCCACGGCGUAAAAUUCCUCCAUCAUUUGGCUCCAUCCGAAAAUAAAGCCUGAAAUCAUCGUGACAUCAUGGCCCCUCCCUCUACCCAAAUAAGAAGAAACACAAAAAUCUAUUACUUAUAUGAUUUCAUAUUCCUUUCUUUCUGACAGUGUGUCAUUAUUCAAAAAUUGUAGCCCGAAUGCGCACAAGCCACAACAAAACAGCAACAACUCGACAAACACCCAAAACUGACUUGGCCCCCACCCACUCUCAGCAGCAACAAAAGGCAAAAAUAAAAAACUAUAGAAAAAUGGUUAAAAAUCUAAAACGCGUAGAGUAUAUAUAGAAACAAUCGACGACGACGCCCAGAUAUGGAAUGCCACUGUGUCGUUCAUGUAUUGUCACCAUCGCGCAUAUUAUUGACACGCUCCAGCGCCAGUGAAUAAAAACACCAUCCAUCCCAGCAACUACUAACCGAUGUAUCCGUCGCGAGCGCAUCUAUAGUCCCUUCCCAAUAAACAUUUGAUGUGUACCUUCAUUUACAUAUUGGCAGACAAUAAGUCUACACGUAUAAUAAUCAUUGGUUUAUUCCAAUCAUAUAUAUACCCACGUUGUGAUUGGACUUGCGUUUUCUCUUUUUUUUUCGUUUUUUCGUGGAUGUUGGUUGUUGUUGUUGUGAUGUUGUUGUGAACAAAUCCCGUUACAUCUGCUGCUACACACGUUUCCAUCAACUGUUUGGGAUGUGUUGGCUUCGAGCAAAAUUUAAAAAAAAGAGACAUGCACAAUAAAUGAUUAAGAUGCGCA